GAGAUCUUAGCGGCCGAAGGCAAAAGACGCGGGCGGCCAGGCUGCAACCUUAAGACUGAUGGAGACUAAUCAAACCGCAGGUGCCAAGGCGCCCGACGUGUCGCGCGCAGGAGCUCCAACUCGCAGCGCCAAGCGCCGAGGAUGCCGGACGGACUCAAGAUCCUAACUCUAACCUGAGGGACUGAGCGACUGCUCGCCCCAAAGUGUUCGCUCUCCUUCCUGGAAGAGCCACAAGGGGUUCGAGGCGACGCCCUAGGGACCCUUGGGAAGCGUCACGUCAGCCGCUUUCCCUCAUCCCUCGCUGUUGGGUGUCUGUGGAACAAACUCGUUUUCAGGACUGUGAUGACUAUUCUUCGUUGUCAACUUGACUAUAUCUGGAAUCACCUACAACCCAGAAAUGGAGAAGAGCACACCUGUGAGAGAUUGUCUGCUUAAAG
rnacentral:lncRNA from 1 species